GACGAACGCUGGCGGCGUGCCUAAUACAUGCAAGUAGGACGCAGUUGCGAACGGGUGAGUAACGCGUAGGUAACUACCUAUUAGAGGGGGAUAACUAUUGGAAACGAUAGCUAAUACCGCAUACUAGUAGAUGGACCUGCGUUGUAUUAGCUAGUAGGUAGGGUAAUGGCCUACCUAGGCAACGAUACAUAGCCGACGUGAGGGGGGUAUCGGGCACAAUGGGAACGGAACACGGGCCAGACCCCUACGGGAGGCAGCAGUAGGGAAUCUUCGGGAAUGGGGGGAACCCUGAACGAGCAACGGCGCGGGAGUGAAGAAGGUUUUCGGAUCGUAAAGCUCUGUUGUUAAGGAAGCGGUACUUAACCAGAAAGGGACGGCUAACUACGUGCCAGCCGCCGCGGUAAUUC
rnacentral:rRNA from 1 species